AGAGUUUGAUUCUGGCUCAGGACGAACGCUGGCGGCGUGCUUAACACAUGCAAGUCGAGCGGUAAGGCCCUUUCGGGGGUACACGAGCGGCGAACGGGUGAGUAACACGUGGGUGACCUGCCCUCAGCUCUGGGAUAAGCCCGGGAAACUGGGUCUAAUACCGGAUAUGACUCCAUGACGCAUGUUGUGGGGUGGAAAGCCUUGUGCGGCUGAGGAUGGGCCCGCGGCCUAUCAGCUUGUUGGUGGGGUGAUGGCCUACCAAGGCGACGACGGGUAGCCGGCCUGAGAGGGCGACCGGCCACACUGGGACUGAGACACGGCCCAGACUCCUACGGGAGGCAGCAGUGGGGAAUCUUGCGCAAUGGGCGAAAGCCUGACGCAGCGACGCCGCGUGAGGGAUGACGGCCUUCGGGUUGUAAACCUCUUUCAGCUCCGACGAAGCGGAAGUGACGGUAGGAGCAGAAGAAGCACCGGCCAACUACGUGCCAGCAGCCGCGGUAAUACGUAGGGUGCAAGCGUUGUCCGGAAUUAUUGGGCGUAAAGAGCUCGUAGGCGGUCUGUCGCGUCGGCUGUGAAAACUCGGGGCUCAACUCCGAGCUUGCAGUCGAUACGGGCAGGCUAGAGUUCGGCAGGGGAGACUGGAAUUCCUGGUGUAGCGGUGAAAUGCGCAGAUAUCAGGAGGAACACCGGUGGCGAAGGCGGGUCUCUGGGCCGAUACUGACGCUGAGGAGCGAAAGCGUGGGGAGCGAACAGGAUUAGAUACCCUGGUAGUCCACGCCGUAAACGUUGGGCGCUAGGUGUGGGAUCCCUUCCACGGGUUCCGUGCCGCAGCUAACGCAUUAAGCGCCCCGCCUGGGGAGUACGGCCGCAAGGCUAAAACUCAAAUGAAUUGACGGGG
rnacentral:rRNA from 1 species